rnacentral:rRNA from 1 species
GAUGAACGCUGGCGGCGUGCCUAAUACAUGCAAGUCGAGCGAACAGACGAGGAGCUUGCUCCUCUGACGUUAGCGGCGGACGGGUGAGUAACACGUGGAUAACCUACCUAUAAGACUGGGAUAACUUCGGGAAACCGGAGCUAAUACCGGAUAACAUGUUGAACCGCAUGGUUCAACAGUGAAAGACGGUCUCGCUGUCACUUAUAGAUGGAUCCGCGCCGCAUUAGCUAGUUGGUAAGGUAACGGCUUACCAAGGCAACGAUGCGUAGCCGACCUGAGAGGGUGAUCGGCCACACUGGAACUGAGACACGGUCCAGACUCCUACGGGAGGCAGCAGUAGGGAAUCUUCCGCAAUGGGCGAAAUCCUGACGGAGCAACGCCGCGUGAGUGAAGAAGGUCUUCGGAUCGUAAAACUCUGUUAUUAGGGAAGAACAAAUGUGUAAGUAACUAUGCACGUCUUGACGGUACCUAAUCAGAAAGCCACGGCUAACUACGUG